AACAUGUGCGCAAGUCGUAAGGUCGGUUCAUUCGAAGCGAAACCCGAAGGCGAAAUGAAAGUGAAGGCCGUCCUUUGUCUCUCUCUUUUGAGGGAUGAUCGAACGACCGAGGCGGGAUCCUAGAGAACAGCAAUGUUCUCGAACCGGACUGCGUGGGCUCGUCUCUCGCGAAACGGUCCGGGGGCGCACCGCCGGCCCGUCUCGACCGCUUAUUUUUCGGUCUGUCUUCGCGACUCGUCUCUUUUUCUCUCUCGUUAGCUUUUAAUCGGGCUGGCGGGAAGAAAGGGCGGUUCGAAGCGCGGAAUUUAUUUCGGUCGGUGAGGCGGAGCUAGAGCACACACGUUGGGACCCGAAAGAUGGUGAACUAUGCCCGGGCAGGACGAAGCCAGAGGAAACUCUGGUGGAGGUCCGCAGCGAUUCUGACGUGCAAAUCGAUCGUCGGACCUGGGUAUAGGGGCGAAAGACUAAUCGAACCGUCUAGUAGCUGGUUCCCUCCGAAGUUUCCCUCAGGAUAGCUGGCACUCGAAAAUUGGCAGUCUCAUCCGGUAAAGCGAAUGAUUAGAGGCAUUGGGGCCGAAACGGCCUCAACCUAUUCUCAAACUUUCAAUGGGUGAGAUGUCCGGCUUGCUUGACUAAACAGCUAGUGAAGCACGGACAUAGGAU
rnacentral:rRNA from 1 species